rnacentral:rRNA from 1 species
GGAUGCGAUUAUACCAGCACUAAUGCACCGAAUCCCAUCAGAACGCCGAAUUUAAGUGUGCUUGGGCGAGAAUAGUACUAGGAUGGGUGACCCCCUGGGAAGUCAUCGUGUUGCAUCCC